rnacentral:lncRNA from 1 species
AUAGGAGUGUCUGGAUGUAUGAAGGCAAUGUUGUGGUAAGUUCCUAUUCCAAGUUCAUCCAGAUUCUUCUUCAUAAAGGCAGGCUUUGGCAUCUCUGACAUAAAAAGCUGGAGGAACUUGAGGAUUCUUUUAUGGGUAAGUAUAUAAAGUGCAUUUCCACUGACGGGAUCUAUAACUGGCAAUCUGUGGAUUUUGUUUUUGAUCAAUGAAUAUACAGCAUCAAAAAGGCUUGCAUCUGGGGAGAUGUUCACUAAAGGUUUAAACGUCUCUUGUAAAUAAAGUUCCCUCCAGGUUUCUAUCUUGUGCUCCUCCAAUUCAUAGAUCUGAACCAUUGGAGACUUAUAGUAUCUAUGCAGUAUGUUAAUGAAAUCUGUAAUUGUUAACAUUCCUACAAAA